UACAGAGGGGGCAAGCGUUGUUCGGAAUUACUGGGCGUAAAGGGCGCGUAGGCGGCCACCUAAGUCAGACGUGAAAUCCCUCGGCUCAACCGGGGAACUGCGUCUGAUACUGGGUGGCUUGAAUUCGGGAGAGGAAUGCGGAAUUCCAGGUGUAGCGGUGAAAUGCGUAGAUAUCUGGAGGAACACCGGUGGCGAAGGCGGCAUUCUGGACCGACAUUGACGCUGAGGCGCGAAAGCCAGGGGAGCAAACGGG
rnacentral:rRNA from 1 species